GAUGAACGCUGGCGGCGUGCCUAAUACAUGCAAGUCGAGCGAACGGACGAGAAGCUUGCUUCUCUGAUGUUAGCGGCGGACGGGUGAGUAACACGUGGAUAACCUACCUAUAAGACUGGGAUAACUUCGGGAAACCGGAGCUAAUACCGGAUAAUAUUUUGAACCGCAUGGUUCAAAAGUGAAAGACGGUCUUGCUGUCACUUAUAGAUGGAUCCGCGCUGCAUUAGCUAGUUGGUAAGGUAACGGGUUACCAAGGCAACGAUGCAUAGCCGACCUGAGAGGGUGAUCGGCCACACUGGAACUGAGACACGGUCCAGACUCCUACGGGAGGCAGCAGUAGGGAAUCUGCCGCAAUGGGCGAAAGCCUGACGGAGCAACGCCGCGUGAGUGAUGAAGGUCUUCGGAUCGUAAAACUCUGUUAUUAGGGAAGAACAUAUGUGUAAGUAACUGAGCACAUCUUGACGGUACCUAAUCAGAAAGCAACGGCUAACUACGUG
rnacentral:rRNA from 1 species